AAAGAUGUUUACAUAUGUUUUUACUGGUUAUUUUGCAAGAUGCUACUAUUCACCCUAAAGUGCAAAUUAAAGGCUUGAUAAGGUCAGUAAGGUAAACUAGGCAGGGUAGGUUAAUCAGCCAAGUCAUUGGAUAACAGGUUUGUUCUGUAGCCAACCUUAAGGGGCUAAUAAUACAAAAAAAAAGUUAAAAAUGCUAUUAUUUUAGCUAAAGAAAUAAGAGUUUCUUAAGAAUAAAAACAGCAAUGUUUGACACAGCACAACAAAAUAAUUACUAUCUCAUAUAAUUAUUUUGCCUUCAACUCCAUGCUAACUUUACUUGGCGCAUGUUGAAACUUAACUACUACACUAAAGAAAAUUGGACAAAAAAAGCAAAGAGGGUGGAGGGAGAUAAUGAAUGGUAGGGUGAAGGAGAACCGAGGUUACCCACAACAGGACACAAAGCAGGACUGAAGAACAAGAAGAAAAAGGUAAAGAUGGGGUAUAGGGUGAAAGGGAAGUAGCGGGUUUGCUGGGUAAUGGGAAGAAGAAGCAGUUAGGGUGUAGGGUGCAUGCCGGAAUUAGAUUUGGGAUAAGACAAGCUGGGAUCAGUAGGAUGCGGCAGGCGGUGACAGCUAAUGUCAAGGAUGGUUCUCCAUGAUAAGAGAGCACGAUACCAAGAAACACUAAACUAAUCCUGCCUCAGUCUUAUCGCAUACAUCUCCCUCUCGCCCUCCUUCCAUCUCUCUCUCUCUCUCUCUCUCUCUCUCUCUCUCUGCAGUGAGUAUAAUUGCACUGAUUUGUCCGGUUGAGGAGAACAGGCAGAUAAUCAAACAGCCAAACUCAAUCCCUGAUCGAAAGAUAGAGUGAGAGAGAGAGAGAGAAAAACGAAAGGAAGAAGCGAAAGUAAACUGACUGACAUUAUCGUGAUAAUCCACCGAACGAAUGAAAGAAAAGUUGCUUUCUCUUUCUCUGGAGAAUUUGAGAACACAACAGUAGAAAGAAAAGCCUACAAAUUAGCCUUGUGUCUCGCCCUCCCCUGAUUCACUUUAUCAGAGCUGCUAUCAGAGCCCAGCUGAUGGCCGACAGAAUUUCAGCCUGUUGACUAUUGUCUCAAGCUCAGCCGCUUACCAUCUAGCGACUUUAUCAGAGGCUAACAAUAGUGAUGGAGACGCAGAGCUUUGCAGAGCGGGCAAAAUGUAAGGUACAGACAGGUGAAUAAGAAAAAAGGGAGAAUGAAGAAGGGUGGGAAAACAAAAUGAGUCUGAAGGGACGAUUCGAGCACCCAAGAAAAGGCAGAACAAAAAGGUGUCUCUCAGUCUCAAAACAACAAAUCCAGCUUGAUUAAAAUAAACAAAGCCUGUAAACAGCAGUUUGAGUUUGUGUGAGCAAGCACAUCCGGAUCAUUUAAUCCCAAAAAUCAUGCUUCUAAUGUACUACCAAACCCACAGAAACAAGCUGUUUGCUCUCGAUCUGUGUAUAAAUAAGACUGCAGCACUAAUAACCCUUGUGAACUGUGUGAUUAUUGUGUGUUUAAGACUUUCUCUUCCUGCUCCAAUCAUGCGCCCCUCCCCCACGCUAAACACACAAUGAAAGCGUUUUGUUUUGUGAAUGACAUCGCUGAAUGAUUGACAGGUAUCCAUCGCUGUCAGUCACACACAUAUACACGCACACAGAGCCAGAGGGGCACAUUUAUCACGGCACACAUGCACACGUGUGCGCGCAGAUCAGAUAUCAUGGGAAAUUACUGCUCGUCUCUUUCUCUCCCAACGCACACACAGAAAAAUAAUUCUUUUCACUGCCUGUACGGGCAACCAGUCCUCUCCUCUCCCCUCUGCUAUUGAUUGCUCUUAUCUGUCAUAUUUCAAUGGAGAUUAUUGCAAUCACGGUUGGGCCAGAGAGGGUCGUGCUGAUUCUAUCACAUGGAAAUGAAUGCAGUAUAUAUAUAUAUAAAUGCGUGUGUUUGGGGUUUGUAUAGAGUGCUCUUAACCUCCUCAGCUCGCGAGAGUCAUUUAUUGUUGAAAGAGAGCGAAAGCAUGCACUUUUUGCUGUGUCGGAGAGAGAAAAACGGCGUAUAUGAUAGUCCCAGAAUGAGAGGGCAGGAAAUGAACUCAGGAAGUGACUGCAGGUAUUGAGUGCAGGGAUAAAGUGAUGACAGAUGAAAGGAACGGAGGGAAAGGAGAGCACGUUAAAUACACCUAAUAAAGUCUAAAUGGAGCUAAUCUGAGGGCUGAAAUAAGAGUUAAUCUAUGGUGCUCCAGAAUACAGUGAUCGUUCAGUGGAGCGGAGUUACAGAGGAAUUACGUUUUAUACAUCCACAAAUCCAAACAGAUUCCAAACUAAUCCAGGAAGCAACUCUUCGGUAAAUGUACAUUUGUUUGGUGUGGUGCGCUGCUGUGCAUUGUGUGUGUGUUUUCAGAGAGAGAGAAAGAGAGAGAUGCUUGGAGUAAUCCUUGUUGGCACAGCCACCAGGCGGUUUAUUUAAACAGACAUUUGAGAGAUGACAGUAAUUUCCACACCUUCUUCGCUCUCUCUCAAAGCACAUCUCACUGGAAACAGCUGAAUGGAUGAAAUAAGGUAUAAUGUGAAAUAAUGAGACUAAAAGUGAAGAAAAAAGAAGGUAUGCGCAGCAGGUUCAGCAAUUGCCCAUUCAAUUUUCAAAAUAUGCCCUCUGUAUUCAUUUCCAGGGACAUUUUUAGAUCUUCUUAAACAAAGUUUUUAUAUUUGGCUUAUUAAAUGUAAGUGUGUUUGUCUUAUAUUUGGGGUAGUUUGAUGACAAGAACUUUAGCUCAUUAUUAUUAUUAUAAGCAAUAAAUGAAUAAAUGGUUAGCUUCGGUCGAGUGGAUAAGUCUCUUAAAGCAGCAUGUGACAUUAUUAAAACUGUAAUAUUAUGACAAAUGUAUUUUAUCAUUAUUGUUUUCUGCUGCUUUUGAUAUUAUCUUAAGUAUUUCCUUGACUUUAGUCUUGUA